UUUCUUGCCAGCGGCUGCCUUGUUGUAUGAAGAUUUUAGCUUUCUGACAGUUACCAUGCCCCUAAGCACUUUUUCUUCCCAACGACAGCCACAACCUGAGUACUUUUUGUUUUCCAUCUACCGUGGUGACCUUUGACCAUUUUUAACAUGUUUGACUCAAUACAUAUCUAAUCAGAAAGUGCUAUAAUUCCUGAUUGUUAUUUAAUGGUUUAUUUUUUUAUUUCUUUAUUAUGAAUAAGAAUAUUCAUGUUUUUUUAUUUCUUUAUUAUGAAUAAGAAUAUUCAUGUUUUUUUAUUUCUUUAUUAUGAAUAAGAAUAUUCAUGUUAUUAUACAACAAGAGUCGUACCAUCUAUCGUCAUUUGUUUUGUCACUAAUUCUUUCAUCAAUGUGAAUGACUUUUUUCUUUUUUCUUUUUUUGAUUUUUUGUCCUUCUUCGUAUAUGGUUGAUAAUUGAUGUGGAUGAGAGUAUACUGUUUUUUUAUCGUUGAAUGUUGAAUGGGUGAAAAUUCAUGAGAAUAUUAUAGUUGUGUUCAGGUUAAACAAUAAACGAUGCCAGAAAUAAAGACCUAAUAUUUUC
rnacentral:lncRNA from 1 species